rnacentral:lncRNA from 1 species
AAAUAAAGUUAUCUCACCUGGCAUUCAUUACAGAGAAAACAAGAAAUAAGGCACUACAUGUCAUAUUUGUCUAGAUCCUAUACCUAUUUAGGUUCACAUUAAAAUGAAGAGAAAACAACAUAGGCUGAGAAUCAGAAAACCUGAACUCUGUCCCAGCUCAGCCACUGGCCACAGGGAAUUAACCAAUCUCUUUGAACGUCAGUUUCUUCAUUAAGCAUCGUAGAGAAUGUCAAAACCAACUUUAUAAAUACUGUCAUUCCAAAACCACACAAUUCAAAUAUAAAUAAUCUUUAUAAGGUAAAACAAAAAUGUACAUAAUACUUUACAUAAACAUUUUUAGAAUAAGUUUAUUAUAACUCGAUAAGCAAAAUAAUCCAAACCUUUAUACAUUUCUACAAGGAUAGUCACGUAUGUCAAUUUUUCGGUUUCCUCUCGUGCCUAUUUUGUCUCCUGAGCCGGCCCCUUUCCAGCUGACACGUGUGCUCCGUGUUCUCCCACAAUAGCCUGACCUGGCCUGAGUCCACGCCCCUGUGAGCCUCCUUUCUUUGCUUACAACAGCAGCCUGCCUGAUGUCAGUUAUGGACUAUUCUUUCUUUCAGCCUCAUUUCAGGGUCCUCUGCCUCUUAGAGCUGCUGCUGUAGCUUAGCUAGAGACCCGCUGCUGUUGCAUCAUGGAAAAGUGCCACAUACGUGCACAUGUGAAAGAAUACGCAGACCUUCAUGUUGGGUUUUAGUUUUAGAAAAAGUCAGAAGUAGCUUCACUUGAUUUCAGCUUGUAAAGACAUAGGAGGGAGGCAACUGAGAAUCACCGUUGCAAAAAGCAAACAUCAAAAAUCACAUUAAAAUGCUGAAGUGUUGUGGAGCACAAACCUAGCUUUAUUGGAUCAAGCAUUCGUGAGAGUUCUUCUACUUGCUUUGUUAUGCUUUCUAUCAGACAGGGCUCAUUCUCUGUCUUUUUUUUUAACAUAUUCAUUUUUUCCUUUGGUCUGUUUAGAUUAUUAUCACAUCUUAUGUUUUAAAACUAGCAAAAUAUUAUGUGUAAGUCAUGAACACAGUGUAAGAAAUAAUAAAAUGAACACUGAUGUACACAUUACCUGCUUAAGAAUCAAAAACUACCCAUAUUUUUAGAGUCCUUAACACUGUCCUGUUAAUUAGUCCCAUUUCUUGCCUUUAUAAUUUUGCCAAAAUAAAUGCAUUAGUAAAGGACAUUGAACAUUAUUGUUUUACAUGUUUUUCAGUUUAAACAAAUGGGAUCACACUGAAUAUAUUUUUCUGAAAUUGCUUUUUGGUUCAAUAUUAAAUUUGUAAGAUUCAUUCUUAUGAUAUGUUUAUCUGUACUUUCUGUGCAUUGAUUUAGAGUAUUCCAUCACAGGAUAAUACUAUAAUGAGCAUUCCAUUUUAUUAGAUUGGGGUUAUUAUCCAUUUUUUUCUGUUACAAAAAGUAGAUGUCCUUUUCUUGUAUGAGUCUCCUGGACAUAAGAGUUAGAUUUUCUCUAAGGUAUAAACCCAACAUUCAAAUCAUUGUGUCAAAAGAUUUGUACACUAAGUUAAAAUGAACUGUUUUCCGAUUUAUGCUCCCAUGAGAAGUUAAAGGUUCUGAUAGAUCUAUAUUCUCAACAAUACCUAAUAGUAUCACAGUUUGUUUUUUUUUUUUUUUUUUGAGACAGAGUCUCGCUCUGUCACCCAGGCUGGAGUACAGUGGCGUGAUCUCGGCUCACUGCAAGCUCCGCCUUCUGGUUUCACACCAUUCUCCUGCCUCAGCCUCCUAAGUAGCUGGGACCACAGGUGCCUACCACCACGCCCGGCUAAUUUUUUGUAUUUUUGUUAGAGACGGGGUUUCACCGUGUUAGCCAGGUUGGUCUCGAUCUCCUGACUUUGUGAUCUGCCUGCCUUAGCCUCCCAUAAUGCUGGGAUUACAGGCAUGAGCCACCGUGCCUGGCCAGUAUCACACUUUUUAACAUUAGUUAACUUGGUUUGUCAUUGGAAUUUUAAUCUGCAUUUUUUAGAAGUACUGAAUCAAGAAAAAAAUCAAGUAAUGAAAAAAAUGUUAUUUUAGUAAAUAAAAAUGCUAUAAAGACAAUAAAGCAAGUGAACGUAGUCAAAAGCGGAGAGGGGCUACUUCAUUUUGAUAGUCAAAGAUGGCCUUGCUGGUCAUCUGAGUUGAGAGGUGGCUGGCAAGAUGAGAAGAGAUGUUAAGUAGCUGUGGAAGGGGCCUGCUGGCACAGGGCAUGCUCUAAGGCCCUGAAAAGAGGCAAACAUUCUUUCCCUCUAAAUACCUGAACUAAGUAAAAACAGUCCUGGCUUUGCACAUUUGAAUAUGCACAGGUUUAAUUAACAUAGUUUAGUUAAAUAGCACUAGUCUCCCAAAAACGUGGUUACAAUUUCAGUUACCACAAUAUGCUAACUGUGAGCAACUGCAUAAAAUCCAAACUUCGUUCCCAGCUCUUAAUUCCACAAAUGCCUAUGUGAGUAAAUAACAGGCAAGCAUCAUGAUUAGGGACUGUAUUAAUCUUGUGGGGAUGCUGCAACAAAGUAUGAAAAGCCGGGUUGCUUAAAACAACAGAAAUGUAUUGACUCGUAGUUGUGGAGGCUAGAAGUCAGAAAUCAAUGUGUUGGCAGGUUCAUGCUCUCUGCUGGCUCUAGGGGAGAAUCCUUCUUCCCCUCUCCUUCCUGUUUGGGUUUGCCAGCCAUCCUUGUUGUUGUCUGAUCUAUAGAUAUAUCACUCUGUUUUCUCUAUGUGUCUUCACAUCGUCUUUUUUUGUGUGUGUGUCUGGAGCUGUAUCCAAAUUCUCCUUUAUUAUAAGACACCAGUUAGUCUAUUGGAUUAGGACCCACCCUAAUGACCUCAUUUUAACUUGAGAACCUCUGUAAAUGUGCUAUUUCCAAAUAAGAUCAUAUUAUUUUGAGAUAUUGGGGAUUAGGAUUUCAAAUAUAUCUUUUUAGGGGGACACAAUUCACUUCCUUCAAAGCCUGUCAGUGACUGCUCACUGUGCAUCUGCUAGUUUGCACACAGACAGCAAAGUCUGCAAUCGUGUUGACUCCUUGUCUCCCAGUGAGAAACCCAUGUGACAUUUAUAAAUAUGAAUAAUCAGAAGAAAAAACUGGUCAACAACCAUUGAUGUGCAGCAAAGAAAUAAAAAAUGUGAUAACCCUGGAAGUGUAUUCAAAUACAAUGUAAAUGGAAUCAUAGAAUUGGCUCACCACAGGAAAUGCAGCAAGAGGAACUCGGCGCAACGCAGUGUUCUGACAUAAAUGAGGAACGCAGCUGUGAUGAAAAGGAUGAAGAAGCCCCAGAGGAAGUGAUGCCGGCAAAGACAGCAACAAACUUCAUAUUAAAGGAACUCUUGUAGAUAUUGCAUGACAAUGUUGACAAUGUUAGAUGCUGUUCCGAAAACAGCACGACAGUUCACCAAGGCAUAGAAACACUGCUGGCUCCUUAUCAUAAGCUAUACGACAAGAGGGAGGCAAGCACUGUUCAAACUGGGCUUGAUAUACGUCUAUAAAUAAAUAAAGCACUUUAAUUGGCUGUUGUUUAAUGUUUUAAAUUACAGUGUAAAAAUGAAGUACUCCCAACCAGGCACGGUGGCUCACUCCUGUAAUCCCAGCACUUUGGGAGGCUGAGGCGGAUAAUGAGGUCAGGAGAUCAAGAUCAUCCUGGCUAACACAGUGAAACCCUGUCUGUACUAAAAAUAGAAAAAAUC